UACGUAGGGGGCUAGCGUUAUCCGGAAUUACUGGGCGUAAAGGGUGCGUAGGUGGUUUUUCAAGUCAGAAGUGAAAGGCUACGGCUCAACCGUAGUAAGCUUUUGAAACUGUUAAACUUGAGUGCAGGAGAGGAGAGUGGAAUUCCUAGUGUAGCGGUGAAAUGCGUAGAUAUUAGGAGGAACACCAGUUGCGAAGGCGGCUCUCUGGACUGUAACUGACGCUGAGGCACGAAAGCGUGGGGAGCAAACAGG
rnacentral:rRNA from 1 species